rnacentral:rRNA from 1 species
CCUACGGGAGGCAGCAGUGAGGAAUAUUGCGCAAUGGGCGAAAGCCUGACGCAGCGACGCCGCGUGAGGGAUGAAGGUCUUCGGAUCGUAAACCUCUGUCAGCAGGGAAGUACGGUCACUGUGCUAAUCAGCAGUGAAUUGACGGUACCUGCAAAGGAAGCACCGGCUAACUCCGUGCCAGCAGCCGCGGUAAUACGGAGGGUGCGAGCGUUAAUCGGAAUUACUGGGCGUAAAGGGCUCGUAGGCGGUAUGUCAAGUCAAGGGUGAAAUCCCCGCGCUCAACGUGGGAACUGCCUUUGAAACUGGCAGACUGGAGUGUGUGUGAGGAUAGUGGAAUUCGAGGUGUAGGAGUGAAAUCCGUAGAUAUCUGGAGGAACAUCAGUGGCGAAGGCGACUAUCUGGCACAUAACUGACGCUGAGGAGCGAAAGCGUGGGUAGCAAACAGGAUUAGAUACCCCAGUAGUC